rnacentral:lncRNA from 1 species
AAAAAAUCAUGUGGUUACAUGUUUCUGAUUCAUCAUAGUCUUCUACAACAACCAAUGAUUUCAAGUGUUGAUUAAAUGUAUCAUGAUAUCUUAAACAAUCUGUGUAUUUUUACAUAGAGAUUUUUUGCUAAUUUUUUACUAAUUAUUUUUAUUUUUUGCUACAUACGAAUAAAUCCUGUGGUAAGAAAUUUUAUGACCAAACAGCUACACAUGAUCAUGUCCCGAAGAUCUAUCUUAAGAAGGAGGACUGUUGUGUUACAGGAAAUGUGCUUUCUGAAGACUUCUGGCUUCACGUUCCCUGAUUGUCUUCAGAAAGGCUGAAUCAGUUACAAUUUCACCAGCAAGAAUGAGGAGCACCGACUUCCUCAUGGCCUCACGAGGUACUAUUAUAUUUUAAACAAGCAAGCAAACAAACAACUUUACUAAUCAGUAUUUUUUUAAGUGAUGCCUUCUUCAUUCAUUCUGCUUAUCUUACGUCACUGGUGACAUUCAAUCAACUUUUCGUAUUUCCUUACAGCAGUGAUUCUCAUACACCGGACUACAUUGUAAUGAUGCUGCAUUAGAAUACAUAGGGACCUAUCUGCCUAAAACACAUACUGCUGGGGAGUCUGAUUAACUGAGUGGUCCUGAUAUGAGGCCAGCUUGUGGACAGUGAUUGUGAUGUCAGCCCAUCUGGGGAAAGAAGUCAGCCAACUUUAGAAAUGACAACUGUGAAUGAGAUAAAAUGGCCAAUGGCAUAAAGCCUCUCCCCAUUCACGCUGACCUCCCAGCCCUGCUCCCCACCUGCUGCUGGCCUAGAGAAGAAAGCCAUUUCCAUUGGCCUUGGCUGCCUGGGGAGAUCUAUAUUGCUCUGGGGAAGACAAGAGCUGUCCCCAUCUUGGUAAAGUGUGAAAUUCGGUUUUGAUUGCAAAAGGAAGCCAUUUCAACAGGAUUACACCGUGACCAUGUAGAUUGAACUCAGCCAUAUGGCCUAGGAUGCUUCUUCCUACUGCCAGGUAACAGUGCAUUGCUAAUGACGUGGUGGCGACAUUUCCAAAUGAAAAAAUAAAGCCACCUGGACUGGAAUAAAGGAGGCA